rnacentral:lncRNA from 1 species
AAAGAUAUUUUUCACUCUUUAUCACGCUAUAUUAGUUAUUCAUUGUCAAAGAUUCAUAUAUAGGUAAAGAAUUUUUUUAAGUAAUAAUAAUUUUUAUUAAAUCAUAAGAUGUUACGUACAAUAUUACCAGAGAAUACUUUAGGAAGCUAACCAAAAUGCGGGGUAUAUAAUGAUAGUCAUAAUUAUAUAACGGGAAUAGAUUCUAAGAUAUAUCUAGUAAAAAAUACAACCAUCAUCAUCAAUCCAAAGUUGCUCCGGACCUUGGCCUUUACACAAUGUUUCUCUCCUCCUUAAGGCAUUUAUACAAGCAUGAUAUCAACUUUCCUCAGCAGCUCACAGUUCAACCACUUUAAGAACUCUAGAAUACUGGCAUAAAAACUAUCUUCAU